UACAGAGGGGGCAAGCGUUGUUCGGAAUUACUGGGCGUAAAGGGCGCGUAGGCGGCCUUCUAAGUCGAACGUGAAAUCCCUGGGCUCAACCCAGGAACUGCGUCCGAUACUGGAAGGCUUGAAUCCGGGAGAGGGAUGCGGAAUUCCAGGUGUAGCGGUGAAAUGCGUAGAUAUCUGGAGGAACACCGGUGGCGAAGGCGGCAUCCUGGACCGGCAUUGACGCUGAGGCGCGAAAACCAGGGGAGCAAACGGG
rnacentral:rRNA from 1 species